rnacentral:lncRNA from 1 species
AUAUGCUUUCUGGUGGACAUUAAUAUAUAACACAGAGAUCUUCUCACAUUGCAGCUGCUCCCAUACAUCCAUUGAUAUAUGCCUCUAACUCCAGACCUUUUUGUCCUUAAUCUUCUAAUCCGGUUAUCUCUUUUCCUUUAGUGCAAUUUUUUCUUCUUAUUUGUUUGUUGUUUGUUUGUUUUAAGUAAAUAGCUAGGCUUUUAAGCCCUACCACAGAGAGUCAACAGACAAACUGCCCAGGGAAAAGUUAUGACCUCAGGCAAAGUGAAUUUCUACAGCUAAGGCAGAUCCUGAAGAAGCUCACAAAUAAAGGUUGCAUACUCACACAUUCCCUGAAGCUUGACAGUGCCAGCCACCAUGCUGUGAGGGAGCUGAAGUAAGCCCACAUGAGGAAGAAUUGAGGCCUCAAGCCAACAGCUGCAGCUAAGAUCCAAGCUCUCAACCAGCACUAGUUCAUCUGGUAUAGAGAAAAUAUCAUGCCUGUGGGAUCUAGAAGACAUACUCCUUUCUUUUUAGUUCUGCUAGUACCCUAUGUGCCUUUACCAAAACCUUAUUGAAUGGAUUU